rnacentral:rRNA from 1 species
GAGACAGCAGCAGCCGCGGUAAUACGUAGGGUGCAAGCGUUAAUCGGAAUUACUGGGCGUAAAGCGUGCGCAGGCGGUUUUGUAAGACAGAGGUGAAAUCCCCGGGCUCAACCUGGGAACUGCCUUUGUGACUGCAAGGCUAGAGUACGGCAGAGGGGGAUGGAAUUCCGCGUGUAGCAGUGAAAUGCGUAGAUAUGCGGAGGAACACCGAUGGCGAAGGCAAUCCCCUGGGCCUGUACUGACGCUCAUGCACGAAAGCGUGGGGAGCAAACAGGAUUAGAUACCCCGGUAGUCCCUGUCUCUUAUAC